rnacentral:rRNA from 1 species
UCCGGAGGGCGCAAGCGAUGUUCGGAAUUACUGGGCGUAAAGCGCGUGUAGGCGGCCAGGUAAGUCGGAUGUGAAAGCCCGGGGCCCAACCCCGGAACUGCACCCGAUACUGCCCGGCUGGAGUCCCGGAGAGGAUGGCGGAAUUUCCGGUGUAGAGGUGAAAUUCGUAGAUAUCGGAAGGAACACCAGUGGCGAAGGCGGCCAUCUGGACGGUGACUGACGCUGAGACGCGAAAGCGUGGGGAGAAAACAGG